AUGGAGCAUGGUGGUGGUGUUGUUAUUGGGUUGUUGAUGGAGCCAUUGUGGAAUGACUUAUGCGGUCCUCGCGAUGACGUUAAGAUCUCGCGGAGGAGUUGUUGUGGCUUCACGAUGUUUCAGUCGUGUGGAGGCUGUCCAGUGAAGGUUGUUGUUGUGCUCGCGGCAAGCUAUAAACAGCGUCGGAAUCGCGACGGAGGGAAGACUCAGAUCCGCGAUACGGUUUCACCCGGAGGAUGGUCAACCGAUUCUAGAUUCGUGUACAGGGCGUCGAUAUUUGUCAAUUCUUCUUCUUUAAUUUGCUUCUUUUUGUCAACAACAACCUUCAAAAGAGUUUAA